UGGGGAAUAUUGGACAAUGGGCGAAAGCCUGAUCCAGCCAUGCCGCGUGUGUGAAGAAGUCCUUUUGGUUGUAAAGCACUUUAAGCGAGGAGGAGGCUACUUGGAUUAAUACUCUAGGAUAGUGGACGUUACUCGCAGAAUAAGCACCGGCUAACUCUGUGCCAGCAGCCGCGGUAAUACAGAGGGUGCGAGCGUUAAUCGGAUUUACUGGGCGUAAAGCGUGCGUAGGCGGCUUCUUAAGUCGGAUGUGAAAGCCCUGAGCUUAACUUAGGAAUUGCAUUCGAUACUGGGAAGCUGGAGUAUGGGAGAGGAUGGUAGAAUUCCAGGUGUAGCGGUGAAAUGCGUAGAGAUCUGGAGGAAUACCGAUGGCGAAGGCAGCCAUCUGGCCUAAUACUGACGCUGAGGUACGAAAGCAUGGGGAGCAAACAGG
rnacentral:rRNA from 1 species